GUGUGUGUGUGUGGUUAGGACAAUUUGUGACUUGUCACACCACUGAUAGCCAGGUUUGAUUUGACUGGCUGGCUAUGCAGGCUUCCCCUUCCUCCCUCAUUACUCCAUGUGCAUCACUGCUGAAACUGCUAAAUGACUAUUCUUUGGCCAAGGGUUUACAAGUAGUUGCACUCCCCUGUCAGAACCUCCAAACAAGCUCUUAAGAUUCCAAAAUUGAAUAUCCAAAUAUAUCUCUAACAGAAUCUAAAUGCUAUUAAUAUUAUAUUUAAAGGU
rfam:Ictidomys tridecemlineatus contig089353, whole genome shotgun sequence.